UAUGGAACGUUGAAGAGGAGAAGUAAAUAGUGGUUUCCAUACACAGAGAGAAUCGCCAUCGGCUGCAAGUGAUUCUUUGGAUCCCUUUUGAAAUGCACCUCUGAGUCUUUUGUUGAAAUAAGUACACAAAAGCGGCUUUCUCCCGUUAUUGAGAAUGAAGUUGGAGAUUCGUAAGGAUUCUACAGUCCAUAUGAAUCUCAAACAGAGUGGAACCGCGCGAAUGCGUCUCUGUG
rnacentral:ncRNA from 1 species